rnacentral:rRNA from 1 species
UACGAAGGGGGCUAGCGUUGCUCGGAAUUACUGGGCGUAAAGCGCACGUAGGCGGAUCUUUAAGUCAGGGGUGAAAUCCUGGAGCUCAACUCCAGAACUGCCUUUGAUACUGGAAAGCUUGAGUUCGGGAGAGGUGAGUGGAACUGCGAGUGUAGAGGUGAAAUUCGUAGAUAUUCGCAAGAACACCAGUGGCGAAGGCGGCUCACUGGCCCGAUACUGACGCUGAGGUGCGAAAGCGUGGGGAGCAAACAGG